rnacentral:lncRNA from 1 species
GAAGAAAAGGAAGAAGAAAAAAACCCGAGAGAGGGAGAUUGCUGAGCGUGAUAGUGAGGAAUUGGGUGAGGAAGCUCUUGUUAGGAAGAAGAAAUCGAAAAAGCAAUUGAUUGAUUCUGUAGCUGAGGAUGGUGUGAAGAAGAAGAAGAAGAAGAAGGGUAAGAGAGAAUCUGGGAGUAAUGUGGUAGGAAACAGUGAAAGCCCCAAAGUUUGUGAGAAACCACUCGUGCGAAGUGAUAAGAGAAAGCGGGAGGACUGCGAUUUGGGAGAUGAAGAAUACAAAGACAAGGAGAUGAAGAGGAAGAGCAAGAAGAGGAAACCAAGUGUUGAUUCAGCGGUUGAGAAAACCAGCUUGAACUCUAC